rnacentral:rRNA from 14 species
GCAUUUAGUGGAUGCCUUGGCGAUAAGAGGCGAUGAAGGACGUGGUACGCUGCGUUAAGCCAUGGGGAGCUGCGAACAAGCUUUGAUCCAUGGAUAUCCGAAUGGGGAAACCCGGCCCGCAAGGGUCAUCAUUAUCUGAAUACAUAGGGUAAUGAGGCGAACCUGGGGAACUGAAACAUCUAAGUACCCAGAGGAAAGGACAUCAAUUGAGACUUCCUUAGUAGUGGCGAGCGAACGGGAACCAGGCCAGUGGCUUUAGUGAGACAACCGGAACUGCUUGGAAAGGCAGGCCAUAGUGGGUGAUAGCCCCGUACGGGUAAUUCGAACUUUAGUCCUCGAGUAGGGCGGGACACGUGAAAUCCUGUCUGAA